rnacentral:rRNA from 1 species
CCUACGGGAGGCAGCAGUAGGGAAUCUUCCACAAUGGGCGAAAGCCUGAUGGAGCAACGCAGCGUGGGUGAAGAAGGUCUUCGGAUCGUAAAACCCUGUUGUUAGAGAAGUAAGUGCGUGAGAGUAACUGUUCACGUUUCGACUGUAUCUAUCCAGAAAGCCACGGCUAACUACGUGCCAGCAGCCGCGGUAAUACGUAGGUGGCAAGCGUUAUCCGGAUUUAUUGGGCGUAAAGGGAACGGAGGCGGUCUUUUAAGUCUGAUGUGAAAGUCUUCGGCUUAACCGGAGUAGUGCAUUGGAAACUGGGAGACUUGAGUGCAGAAGAGGAGAGCGGAACUCGAUGUGUAGCGGUGAAAUGCGUAGAUAUAUGGAAGAACACCAGUGGCGAAAGCGGCUUUCUGGUCUGUAACUGACGCUGAGGUUCGAAAGCGUGGGUAGCAAACAGGAUUAGAUACCCGAGUAGUC